rnacentral:rRNA from 1 species
CAGCAGCCGCGGGAAUACAGAGGGUGCAAGCGUUAUCCGGAUUUAUUGGGUUUAAAGGGUCCGUAGGCGGAUCUGUAAGUCAGUGGUGAAAUCUCACAGCUUAACUGUGAAACUGCCAUUGAUACUGCAGGUCUUGAGUAAAUUUGAAGUGGCUGGAAUAAGUAGUGUAGCGGUGAAAUGCAUAGAUAUUACUUAGAACACCAAUUGCGAAGGCAGGUCACUAAGAUUUAACUGACGCUGAUGGACGAAAGCGUGGGGAGCGAACAGGAUUAGAUACCCGCGUAGUCCCUGUCUCUUAUAC